rnacentral:rRNA from 1 species
AUUGAACGCUGGCGGAAUGCUUUACACAUGCAAGUCGAACGGCAGCACGGGAGCUUGCUCCUGGUGGCGAGUGGCGAACGGGUGAGUAAUGCGUCGGAACGUACCGAGUAAUGGGGGAUAACGCAGCGAAAGUGUGCUAAUACCGCAUACGCCCUGAGGGGAAAGUGGGGAUCGCAAGACCUCACGUUAUUCGAGCGGCCGACGUCUGAUUAGCUAGUUGGUGGGGUAAUGGCUCACCAAGGCGACGAUCAGUAGCGGGUCUGAGAGGAUGAUCCGCACACUGGACUGAGACACGGCCAGACACCUACGGUGGCUG